UGUUUAAAUUUAAAAUAGUUUAUUGGUGGACUCAUAGUUGUUAAACUACAACAUUUUACCUUAAAUGUUAAAAGCAUGAAAUCACAUGGAUUUUACAGUAAAGAAAGGAAAAGAAAGUAAUGCUUUAAAAUAAAAAUCUGUUUUCAAAGAACAUGAAAGUAUAGCUAAAUGGUAUUGAUAUAAAAAUAUUGCUUUAUUAUAUAUAUUGCUAUAUUGCAUAGAAGGCAUUGCUGGUCUGCCACCAUACCACCCUGAAUGCUCCCAAUCGAGAGCCUGUCACUUAGUAAGUGCUCAGUAGUUGUUAGCCAUUACUAUUACUAUUAUAUUUAUGUUUAGAAUUAUUUACUAGUUUUGUUAGAAUUGAGUGGCGUGUUUGAAUAACAAUAAUUUGAGGAUAUUGGAUUCUACGUAGAAAAGACUAUUUGCUGGUUUCUAUGCAACAGUUGUUUGAGAGAGUGAAUAAAUCUGUGAAUAUCGUGAAAUCUUUUGCACAUGGCAAAUUUUGUUACAUUGAAUAGAAUUGAAUGUCUUCAGGGAAACUUCUCAUAAUUAAAAAAUAAUCUUUCAGAUGGGAACAGUUACCCAUUUUGCCUACCACAAAAAUGAAACAAGUCAGUGGCAAAGAGAACACAUGUUGAUAUUUGUGUGUGUGUCAUUUCUAGAGUGUAAGCU
rnacentral:lncRNA from 1 species